UCACAUAAUAAUAAAUAUUGAGCACCCUACUACAUGCUGGGUAUUAUUCUGACUUGAGGAUACAAUGAUGAAAAAAUAUCGACAAAAUCCCUGCCUAUAUAGAACUUACAUUUUACUACCUCUCCUUAUUGAGUUAUACCACUCAUUCCUUGAGGAGGUUAGCUUCUGACCCACUGUCAAAAUACUUAAUGAUAUCAAUGUCUAUAUUAAUGAAUGUUCUAAUCCUUUGGCCUCUCUUUCCUUGAUCUCCUGUCUUCCAGGGAUCUUGUCCCUCACUCCAUCUCAGCCACAUACUCUGCAGUCCUUCCCUAGUCAUAGUCAUUUAUUAUCCUCUUGAUAAUCUGUUUUUAACUUUCCAAUAGCUGAUCAACAUCUCUUAUCCCUCUAACACACUCCUUUUUUUUUUUGGUCUUUUAAAAAAUCUUUUAGGGCCACACCCACAGCAUAUGGAGGUUCCCAGGCCAGGGGUCCAAUAGGAGCUGCAGCCACCAGUCUACACCAGAGCCACAGCAAUGCAGGAUCCGAGCUGUGUCUGUGACCUACACCACAGCUCACAGCAACACCGGAUCCUUAACCCACUGAGCGGGGCCAAGGAUGGAACCCAUGUCCUUAUGGAUGCUAGUUGGGUUCGCUAACUGCUGAGCCACGACCGGAACUCCUCUAACACUCCCUUUUUUUUUUUUUUUUUUUUUUUAGCACCUUGACUUCUUUAAUUCUUCCAUCUUUACAGAAUAUGCACUCCUUUGACCUGUUCAGCUUUUCACUGUUCCUCAUCAUUCUCAGACCCUUACUUCCCCCUUUACCUAAUUCGAACUCCAUGAUUCAUCAUUAUAGUCUUUCCCUUGCAGAUACCCUCAAUAUUAUUGCCCCUUUCUUGCUUGUACUCAUCUGACAAAACCCAAUCCUGGCUAAAUCCAGUUCUUCACCUACUUUUUACCUGAAUCAAUGCAGCUUGAGAAAAACAUACAACCACACUUAUGGGUCUUACAUCAAAUUCUUGAUCAUGAACCCCAUCUGUGCUCUUAGUAUUAGCUGGCAAUCAUACUAAAUUUCUUUAGUCCAAUCAUGUUCCUACUCUUUUAGAUGUCUAUUUCAUACCUUUUCCUCCUCAAAUCUCCAAUACUUUCUCUCUCUCCUCACUCUAGCUGAUGAUCUUCCUAUUUCACUGAGAAAACUGAGACAAUCAAAAAAACACUUCCAACUCUACACUAGGGUAACCUUAUCAUGAAUGAGGGAAAGUUUCUUAUUUUAGAAGUUUUCCAGCUAAUUCUAGCAACCCUCCAUGAAUUCACAGAUCAAAGCAAAAAUCAAUUGCUGCUAACAUCUUAACAAGAAACAACUUGACAUUAUGUGCCUCCUGAAUGUAGUAUACAAUGCCAUCUAUGAAAUAUUCUUGCAAAAACUUGAAUCCAAAUCUCAUUAAGCCUCUAGAACAUACAGUACAGAGUACAGUACAGAGAACAGAAGAACAUGUUAAAAGCCACCAUGAGGAUGCAAAAAAAAAAAAAAAAAACCCUAGACUGUAGGAGAUUCUAUAGGACAAAUAAAUCAGAUUUUUAAACAAAUAAAUUGGGUGAAAUAGAAAGAGAAUCAAUAGAUUAAAAGGGACUUAAGACACACUUCGACCAAUUACAAUUCAUGAACCUUAUUUGGAUCCUGUUUCAAACAAACAUUGUAAAGGGCAAAUCAGGAAUUUUGAGCACUGACUGGAUACUUAAUCCUAUUAAGGAACUAUGAUUAAUCUUUCAAUUAUGGCAAUGUGGAUAUAGUUUUAAAAGAGCCAUAUACUAAAAUAUUAUAAAUAUUCAUAAAUUUAUGAAUCAUAAAUAUUUAUGGUUCAUAUGAUACAUAUUAUAGAAAUAUAUAUGGUAAUAAUAUGACAUAUGGAAUUUCCUUCAAAGUUAUCUGAGGAAAUGAGAGAGUGUUGGUGCGGCUAUAGGAAAAGCAAGAGAGGUGAUGAACAGGUAACUGCUAAAGCUGGGUAAUGGCAACAUAAAUGUUCAUUAUCCUGUUCUCUGUACUUGUGUAUAUACUUGAAUUUUUCCAUAAUAAAAAUAUUUUUAAAAAGAGAUAUCCCACAAGCAAUCAGAAGUGAACUUCCUACUGACCUAACUGCAAUAGUACACACUAUUCUGCCUCCUUGCCAUUAUCCAUACUCCACAGUAAGGCGGAACCCUUCAUUUGUGCAUUAGGACCCAUCCUCUCUCACCUAUUGGAAGAUAUCAUUCUAGUAAUUCUCUUCUCACUUGCACUGUUAAUUUUCACCUCUCUACUGGAUCAAGUCCAGUCAGGACAUAAACAUGCUAUAACUUCUCACAUUAAGGAAAAAAGUCCUCUUUAGAUAUCCUGUAUCCCCCGCUAGCUAUUGCCACAUUUUUCUGCCCCAUUUGGAGUAAAACUCCUCAAAAGAAUUUUCUACAUUCAUAGUUUUCAACUCCUCCCAUCCCAUUCUCUUUAGAAUUCAUCCAACUAGGCUUUUCCUCCUAUCACUCCACUGGAACUUCUCUUUAGGUCACCGAUAACCCUGACAUUGUUAACUCCAGUGAUCAAUUCUCAGUCCCCAUCUUAUUUGAACUAUCGGUAGCAUUUGAUGCACUUGAUCACUCCCUUCUCAAAACAAUUCCUUCACCUGGCUUCUAAAAUGACAUAUUCUACUGGUUUUCUUCCUUGCUUGCUAUUAUCUCCUUCUCAGUCUCUUUUGCUGAUUCAUCCUCACUUUUCUGAUCUCUAAACAAUUCCCUUCUCUAGAUAUGUUUCCUCCUUUUUGUAUCUAUACUCUUUCUUCAUCAUCUCUAAAUUUUAUAUUUUUAUCCUGGACUUUCCCCCUGAAGUCUACGUGGAUAUUUAACAGGCAUCACAAACAGGUCCACAACUGAACUCAUUAAAAAUGUGCUUUCUUUCUAUACAUUUCUCCAUUUUAAUUGGUAGCAAUUUCAUCCUUCCAGUUAUUCAGGCUGAAAACUUUGCAAUCAUCCUUGACUUCUGUCUUUCUCUCAGCCCCAUACUCAAUCUAUCAGUAAAACAUAUGUGUACCUUAAAAACAUAUCUAGAAGAUUUCCUAUUGUGGCACAGCGGUAACGAAUCUGACUAGUAUCUGUGAGGAUGAUGGUUUGAUCCCUGGUCUCGCUCAGUGGGUUAAAGAUCUCACAUUGCUGUGAGCUGUGGUGUAGGUCACAGACCUACCUGGCAUUGCUGUGGCUGUGGUGUAGACUGGCAGCUUCGGCUCCUAUUCGAUCCACAGCCUGGGAACCUCUAUGUGCCGUGGGUACGGCCCUAAAAAGAAAGAAAUAGAUAGAUAGAUGAUAGAUAGAUAGAUAGACAGACAGAUAGAUAGAUAGAUAGAUAGAUAGAUAGAUCUGACCAUUUCUCACCACGUACUGCUACCACAUUAUCAAAGCCAUCAUUACCUCUCAUCUGGAUUGUUGUAAUUACUUCCUAAAUGGUUUACUUGUUUUAUCCUUUGCACUGCUAUAGUCUACUCUCAACACAGCAGCCAGGAUAAUAAACUAUAUGUCAAAUCAUGUCACUUCCAUAGUCAAAACCCUCCAUUUCCCUCAAAGAAAAAGUCAAAGUUGUUAUAAUGACAAAAUGCCCAUGAUCUGAUCCAUCUUUAUCUCUGGCUCCAACUACACUGGCUUCUUUGCUACUCAGCUAUACACUAGAUAAAUUCCUGUCUCAAGACCUUUACAUUUGCUCUUCCCUCUAUUUGAAAUGUUUUGCUCCCAGAUAUCCACCUAGCUCACUCCCUCAUCUCUUUCAGGUGUCUGUAUAAAUAACAUAUUCUAAUUUUUAUUUAUUUUUUUUUUGUCUUUUGUCUUUUUUUUUUGUUGUUGUUGUUGUUGCUAUUUCUUGGGCCACUCCCGCGGCAUACGGAGGUUCCCAGGCUAGGGGUCUAAUCAGAGCUGUAGCCACCGGCCUACGCCAGAGCCACAGCAACUCGGGAUCCAGGCCGAGUCUGCAACCUACACCACAGCUCAGGGCAACACCGGAUCGUUAACCCACUGAGCAAGGGCAGGGACCGAACCCGCAACCUCAUGGUUCCUAGUCGGAUUCGUUAACCACUGCGCCACGAUGGGAACUCCAAAUAACAUAUUCUAAGUAAGGUUUUCCCUGAACAUUCUAUUUUAAAUUGCAAACCAACACCCUUCUUCCUGGUUUCAUCACUGGCUAUCGGACCACUCAUUCUACUUAAUCAUUUGUUUACCUUUUGUCUCUCUCCCUCAAUAGAAUGAUAGCAAUAUGAAGUCAUGAUUUUUUGCCUUUUUUGUUCAUUGAUGUACUCCUAGUUCCUAGAACAGUGUUUGGCAUAGAGUAGGUACUCAGUAAAUAUUUUCUGAGUUAAUCCAUUAAUGAAUAUAGAGUUGGGCUGGAGCUAUGUCACACUAAUAGGGUUUACACAUCAUUAAGUAAAAUAGGCACAAUGGCUAGGACCCAUGAUACCUUUAAAGGUCAUGAAAAUGUUUUAAUUUUAUUUUAAAAUAGGAAGAAAAAGAAGAAUGAAUAUAUAAUAAUGAAUCUAGCCUGAAUUAUAUUAGCCUUUAUAACAGCUCAGUCAAAAAAUGUAAUUUUUAGUAUAUUCUCAUGGAGGAAGGCAAAAAUGCCUAAGGCUCAUGAAAGUCAUGAUGUGUUUUUGUCACAUCAGGCCUAGGUAUUAUAAACCUGGUUAAAGAGUUGAACCUUAUCUUGUAGAAUAAAGGGGAACCCUUGAAAGAUAGCAUAAUGAUUAGAUUUGCAUUUUUAAAAGAUCUCUUUUAUGGUUAGGAAAAGGACAGACUGAAAGAAGGGAACAGACCUGUUAGGAAAUUAUUGCAGUAAUCCAAGUAAGAGAUGAUGCCAGCCUCGAUUAUGGAUAAAGAAUACAAAAAAAUACUUAAUAGGAUUUCAAUGACUUUUAAUUGUGAAUAAAAUAAAAUACAAACUCGUUACAAAGCCCUGAAUGAUCUGCAUGUUUUCAACUACAUCUUGAAUUGCUCCCCCCCUCACCUACCAUGAUCCAGCCACACUGGCCUUUUUCAGUUUUUUAAAUGCAUAAAUUUUGUUCUGGCCUCAGGCUUUCAUGUAUGCUUCUUCUUUCUGUGUGUUGCUAUUUCUCAACUCUUCUUCUGACUAAAAUUUUCUUAAAGUCUCAGGCUAUAUAGUACUUAUAUCACUUUCUUGGAGAAGCUUUAUAUAUUACCUGAACACUCACUCCUUUUCUUUCAUAGCAGUUUCCACAAUUUGUAUGUAUUUGUUUGUUUUGUUUAUUAUCUGUAUUCCUCAACUAGAGUGAAAGCUCCAAAAGGCAAAGACACACUAAACAAGCGUCGGGCGCUCAGUAGGCACUCAAAGAAUACGAAUGAAUGAAUGAAUGACUUGGUGACAUUUAUUGUUUUCCCAGUUUCUGGCUAUUUUGAAUAAUGCUAUAAAUGUUCUUGGACAUAUUUUGUUGUUGUUAUUGUUGUGCUUACGUAUGCAUUUCUGAUGGGUUUAUACCUAGGAGAGGAAUUGCUAUGUAUUAGGGCAUGCAUAUGUUCAACUUUAGCAGACAUUGCCACAGUAGCUUCCAAAGUGGUCAGCAUUCAAUGAUGUCACAUUGGUAGCUGAAAAUUGCGCAUGGUGGGAGUAUUUACACCAUGGAAAUCAGUAAAUACUAUAUAUAAAGGUUCCCAUCUUCCCCCAGACUGUUUACCAGCAUACCACUGGGGUAUUCUAAAGCACAAAGUUUAAGCCAGUGUAUGGCCACUCACAACAAAAGGAAAAAAGAUUGAAAAAAAUUAACAAAGUCUUAGGGACCUGUGGUACAACAACAAAAUGUCUAAACUUCAUAUAAUCAAAAGGAUUAGAAAAAGAUUAUGGUGCUGAAAGAGUAUUCAAAGAAUGGAUAAGCAAUGAGGUCUUACUGUACAGCACAAGGAACUAUAUCCAGUAUCUUGGGAUAGACCAUGAUGGAAGAUGGUAUAAGAAAAAAAUGUAUAUAUAUGUGUGAUUGGGUCACUAUGAUGUACAGCAGAAACUGACACAACACUGUAAAUUAACUAAUAGUUUAAUAAAAAUAAAUAAG
rnacentral:lncRNA from 1 species